rnacentral:snoRNA from 1 species
AAACCGAGUGAUGAUUUUGGAUUAAUAUUCUCACGACGGUCGUCUGAGGUACCUUUUGUGUACCUGACUGAUGUUAAUAUCCAAAUUUUCUGAUGGUU